rnacentral:rRNA from 1 species
ACGGGAGGCAUCAGUGGGGAAUAUUGGACAAUGGGGGAAACCCUGAUCCAGCGACGCCGCGUGAGUGAAGAAGUAUUUCGGUAUGUAAAGCUCUAUCAGCAAGGAAGAAAAUGACGGUACUUGACUAAGAAGCCCCGGCUAACUACGUGCCAGCAGCCGCGGUAAUACGUAGGGGGCAAGCGUUAUCCGGAUUUACUGGGUGUAAAGGGAGCGUAGACGGUAUGGCAAGUCUGAAGUGAAAUGCAUGGGCUCAACCCAUGAACUGCUUUGGAAACUGUCAAACUAGAGUGCAGGAGAGGUAAGUGGAAUUCCUAGUGUAGCGGUGAAAUGCGUAGAUAUUAGGAGGAACACCAGUGGCGAAGGCGGCUUACUGGACGACAACUGACGCUGAGGCUCGAAGGCGUGGGGAGCAAACAGGAUUAGAUACCCUGGUA